AGUGGCGGAAGGGCGAGUAAUGCAUUCCUACGUGCCCCAAGGUGGGGGAUAGGUCGGGGAAACCCGGCGUAAUACCUCAUGUGCUCUUCGGAGGAAAGCCGCAAGGCGCCUUGGGAGCGGGGAAUGUCCUAUCAGGUAGUUGGCGGGGUAAAGGCCCACCAAGCCUAUGACGGGUAGCGGGUGUGAGAGCACGACCCGCCGCAUCGGGACUGAGACACUGCCCGGACUCCUACGGGAGGCUGCAGCGACAAAUAUUCCGCAAUGCGCGAAAGCGUGACGGAGCGACGCCGCGUGCAGGAUGAAGCGGCUCUGCCGUGUAAACUGCUGUCAGGGUGUAGAAAUACUGAUCACACCCAAAGGAAGGGCCUGCUAAUCUCGUGCCAGCAGCAGCGGUAAUACGAGAGGCCCGAGCGUUAAUCGGAAUCACUGGGCUUAAAGGGUGCGUAGGCGGAGCCGCAAGUGUCUCGUGAAACCCCCCGUCUCAACCGGGGAACUGCGGGGCAUACUGCGGUUCUUGAGGCAGGUAGGGGUCGCUGGAACGCUAGGUGGAGCGGUGAAAUGCGUAGAUAUCUAGCGGAACGCCGAUGGUGAAGACAGGCGGCUGGGCCUAGCCUGACGCUGAGGCACGAAAGCGUGGGGAGCAAACAGGAUUAGAUACCCUGGUAGUCCACGCCGUAAACGAUGCGCACUAGAUCGGG
rnacentral:rRNA from 1 species